UACGAGGGAUGCAAGCGUUAUCCGGAAUUAUUGGGCGUAAAGAGUUUGUAGGCGGUCAAGUGUGUUUAAUGUUAAAUGUUAAAGCUUAACUUUGAAACUGCGUUAAAAACUGCUUGUCUUGAGUAUGGUAGGGGUAAAGGGAAUUCCCAGUGUAGCGGUGAAAUGCGUAGAUAUUGGGAAGAACACUAAACAGCGAAGGCACUUUACUAGGCUAAUACUGACGCUGAGAAACGAAAGGUAAGGUAGCGAAACGG
rnacentral:rRNA from 1 species